UGGUGAGGUGGGUGGGGUCAGCCUGCGGUGGAGGGGAAGGGUCCUAGAGCCGUGGGGAGGGGCAGCCCGUGGCCUGGAGCAGUGGUUGGUGACCUUUGGAGGGGCGGUUGGGCUGUUGGGCAGUUGGGCGGUUGCAUGGGGCGGCCUGGGACUUGGGGGCGGGGUCAGUCAUAUAAAGGCUGUGCCCAGCGCUUUUGGAAGCAGUAAGUCCAGCCUUAGGCUAAGGUGAGAGCGUCUGCUGGGACAGUGUGGCUGGACCCACGUGGCAGGUCGAUCGGGCGGAGGCCGUCAAGCUAGCUGGAAGGGGCUGUGCUGUCAACGAGCGAGCGCAGGUGGCCUGGUGUAGACCCCGGGAGGCUGGGCGGGGACGCUGGGCGGGGACCUGGUUGAGGACCUGGGCGGGGACACUGGGUGGAAACCCUGGGUGGGCACGCUGGGCGGGGACUCUACAGGGCUCUCCCUCUGGGUAGUCUGGCCCUGACUUCUGAGUCACGGGAAUGCGGGUGGGAGGUCACGGGCGGUGGGAGGAAGCCCAGGUCCCAGGUUUGUGAUCUUCAGAUGAGGGCAGCUCUGAGAACGGUGGGGGCCCGGCUGUGGCCCCGGGGCGGGGGACGCCCCAGCCGUUCAGUGUGGAGUUGGGGACGAGCGGGCUCUCUUCUUGGAUUUGAGGAUGUCAGGCACCUCUUUCAUUUUCUUGCUUCAGAGAGUAUGCCUAGACCCAACAGAUGGAAAUUCCUGGAAGGCCAAUUUCCUGGAAGGCCGAUUUAGACUUCAUGGGUGCAUAGGUGUAUGCAGACAGCUGCAAUACAGUCUUCUGCUGCUAAUCUCUCAGCAAUUAUAAAUGGUUUUUAGUUUUAGCGACCUGAAAAGCAAGUCUAUGUGAAGCUCCCGAAAACUUUAAUGUUUACGUGUGAAAUACUGAAAAUCUGCUUCUGCCUUUCAACUCAAAAUUCUUUCACAAAGAAUUCUUUGUUUUGAAUUUGUUUGAUAAGUAAAUAUCGCUUAAGUACCAGUUUCAUUUAUGGUUUCAUUAGUGCUUUUCCCUAAAUAACACUAUGAUUUUAACACUUUGCCAUCUACAGUAAAUUUACUUGCCUAAUGCAGCUACCAAAUACAUUUACAUAUACACAUAUAUAUGUGUAUAUGUAUAUUAAAAGUCAUUAAAAAGCAGAAUGACUAAAAAAACAAGUUAGAAAUUGUAAAUACAUACAGAUUAUAUAGCGUUGGAUUACAGUUGACAAACCUUAAAACAUCACACAUUGUAAAGAGGUCCUUCUGGGCAUGACAAGUACACAGCUCUUGCCACAUGACACCGGCCACCUUGCAGUGCUGGUACAACCACACCCAAGCUUCCUCUCCUCUGAUCAGCGAGGCAGAUUCAUUGAUAUGUUGGGGGCUUCAGGGACAUGUCAGACUGUUAUACACUUUCCCAAACCUUCCUCCCAUUUGUUCUGCUUAUCUUGUCUUGACCAGUAACAGUUUGCCAACUGACACCAGACCACAGACUACAGUUUGAAUAGCACUGUCAUAGACUCAAGAUUGGCAACUGUCCAGAAUGUAAACCUAUGCCAAGCACCAAAUGCUUGCCUGGCAGUAGAUGAAGGGAUAUGCCCAUUCUUGCUCUGGUCUGGCUUAUCCCAGCUGAUUGCUUGAGUCUUCUUUAAAAGCUCCACCUCAUCACACAGAUGUGGAAGCUGAGGCUCAGAGGCCUGGAGUGACCUGCUGGUGGGGAUGCAGCUGGAUCCAGAGGAAGAGCUAGAUCCAGGUCCUCUGAACCCCAGCCAGGAGCCCAAAUGCACAGCCACCCAGCCCAGCCCAUGCCUCUCUGAGGUUGAUUUGGGGCUGUCCUUGUGUGUUUCAGUCAAAGAGGGCUACAGAGUCUAGUCAGAGGCUAACAUUGCACUCCAGUUUUGUACCUCUUAGAAAAUGGCGUCCUUCUGGGGAUCAGCCUUGCCAAAGUGGAUGCCAUUGGACUAUAGCUGGUAAGCAGCAAAACGGGCUGUCCAGGGUUAAUGUCGAUGAACUCUUUCAAUAAUUCAAUCGGAUGUCAGCAAAGGCAGAAAGUGGGACAUAGAGAACUAGAUGUAUGUGACCUCGCCAUGGGACUCCAGGUUCCUGGGUGGAAAGAAGUAUGUUUCUUUUUACUUGUUUAAUACAGUGCCUGGCAAGAUGGUCAUUAAAUCUAUGAGGUCUCUUGACACCAGAGAUUUUCUUUUUUUCUAAAACAGAAAUUGUAUUUCCCCUUUUGAGUGGGACAGACUGAUCUGUAAGACCUGCCCUUCAUCUAAUAGCAUCUGGGGUUUUUAUUGUUAUAGUUGCUUACAAGACCUCUUGAGAAAAAUCCUUUGCAAAUGAAAAUCCCCUUCUUUCACCUUUACCUUUUCAAGAAACACAGGGGAGAAUGAUCUGCCUUGAGAUGUGGCAGCCUAAUCGUGGGGGCUCUGCACUCAGACAGAGCUAAGUCUCUUUUCUUAGUUAUUUUUCUUUAUUUUUAAAGUUUAUAAACUUUUCUUCAGGAAAUAUAUACAAAAUAAUAACAGAAAGGAAAUCAAUCUAUAUGGCGGUUACCUUUCUGGAAACAGUAAGAACAUGAACAGAACAUGAUAGCACCAGACAUAAGACAUUCAUGAAGGAGAUAAUAUAUCUAGUUCAGUGAUUCUCAACCAAGGGAUGUUUUGUACCACCCCAGGGGACAUUUGUUUGGAAACAUUUUUGAUUGUCACAAUGGAUGUGUGUGUGUGUGAGAUACUACUGGCUUCUAGUGGGUGGUGGCCAGAGAUAUUGCUAAAUAUCCCACCAUGCACAGAACAGUCCCAACCACAAAGAAUUGUCCAAAAUGUCCAUCGUGUCAAGUUGAGAAACCAUGAUUUAUUUGCGUCUUUAAGUUUUCUUCUAAGGUAAAAUUGCUGUUGGUUUCUGUAUAUAGUCAGUCCCUGAUGUUUUACCCAUUGAGGUUUAGCUGUUCUAUAUAUAAAUAUUGACUAAAAUCAAUAAAAUCAAUAAAAUUUUCUGAUUUCCUAUUUAAAGUAUAUUGUACAAUUUAAAAAAGUAGGCUAGAUGCAGUGGCUCAUGCCUGUAAUCCCAGCACUUUGGGAGGCCGAGGAGGGCGGAUCAUGAGGUCGGGAGAUCGAGGAGGUGUUAAUCACUGAAGGGAGGUAGAAUGUUUUUCCCCACCAGAGGAGGCAGCGACCACGUCUCCUCUAUGGAGGCAUUCAGGAGCCGUCCAGCUGAAGCAGCAUCACUGUCUGAGGUGAAUACCUGGGGUUCACCAUCUUGCACCAAGAAGAUUAAAGACAUGGACACAAGAGAGGCGUCCAAAAGGGAAAAAGCCGGCCUGAGGUGGACCACAGCAGACUUGAUAGGCUGGCUUGAGGAGGCGGCAUCUGAUUUACACAGGGCCCACAGAUUGGUCUGAUCAGGUGUGACAUUUACAUAGUGCUCGGGGAAGGCUGGUCGUCCCACCCUAAUCUUAUUAUACAAAUGGGCUUUCUACUUGGCCAGUACCAUCUUGUCUGCUCCUUACUAUACACGCGGGUGGCAAAGACAGGAGAAGAUGGAGCCACCAUUUUGAACGUGCCUAUUCCCAGGUAACCUUUCUCUAUUGGCACAACCACCAGCAUUCGCCUAUGCAAGCUUCCAGCUUGCUUGUCUAUGCCUGCAGCUUGAUUUUACAGGUUGCUCUUUGUUAGAAAAGAAAAUGAUUUGGGGCAUUCCUUUUAAUGCUUUUCAUUAAAAGGAAAACCUUACCAAGGACUUCCUUAUUCUAUCUGCCUAAAUAAUUUAUUUUUAACUCUUCUAUCACAGCUUGGAAGGCACAAUCCACAUAGGUCUGCAUGGUCCACCGAGCUGCAUACCCACGGGGCCAGCGGGAGGUGGGCAGCUGCUGGGCUCUCUUCUGAAGCAACAGGAUCUCACUCUGUUGCCGAGGCUGGAUCACAGCUCCCUGCAACCUUGAACUCUCCCUCAAGCAAUCCUCCCCACUCUGCCUUCCAAAGCACUAGCAUUGUAGGCCUAAGCCGUCACUCCCAUCCACUGUAGUGUAAACUGUCUCCUUCAAUGUUUCCAGUAGUUGCGGAGCAGAUCAGAUAAGGGUUCCUCCUGUCUGUUGCUUCAAGUUUCAUUCUCUCUUUAAACGAUAUAAGGUUGGCUUCCAUGGUUCCUUCUUAAAGAAUGUUGAAGGUGUGUCUUCAGAUUCAUUUAGUGUUCGUGGAACCCCAGGGAAAGCUGAUGUAAAACCCUCUUUUUUCUCCCAAAUGUCUCAAAAAGUUGUAUUUUCUGGGUCCAAGGGAUCUGCAAGCCUCCUAAAGGCAUUUCCAUUGUCACUACCAUCAGGUGUGAACUGUAAUCUGGCACGUAUAGUUCCAGGAACUGUCAUAAUAGAUGCUGAAGAAACAUUGUGAAGUUAACUCGCUGUUACCAACUGUGAAGUCACUAGCUAGAGGAAUCUUGGGCGGUCUGAAAUCUGAGAUACUGUGGAAAGAGCAGAAAGAUCCUGUAUCUUUCCUAUAAUUGUUCUACUGGAAGUUGUCAUUUGACACAGGAGACAUUCUGUUUUAUUUAUUUUCUUUUGAGACAGGGUCUCACUCUGUCGCCCAGGCUGCAGGUAAUGGAAGUGGGCAGAGAAUGAUCCUUUCCCUAGGCUGCAGUCAGUGGGCAUGGGGAUUCAGGCCACUGCCACCGAAUUUCAAGAGCCCAAGCACAGAGCCCAGAACUAAACUGUGAGGGUU
rnacentral:lncRNA from 1 species